rnacentral:rRNA from 1 species
GAUGAACGCUAGCUACAGGCUUAACACAUGCAAGUCGAGGGGCAGCGGUAUCGAAAGCUUGCUUUCGGUAGCCGGCGACCGGCGCACGGGUGAGUAACGCGUAUCGAACCUGCCUCAUACUCGGGAAUAGCCUUGCGAAAGUAAGAUUAAUGCCCGGUGUUUUCAGAGUCCCGCAUGAGGCUUUGAACAAAGAUUUAUCGGUAUGAGAUGGCGAUGCGUCCCAUUAGCUUGUUGGCGGGGUAACGGCCCACCAAGGCAUCGAUGGGUAGGGGUUCUGAGAGGAAGGUCCCCCACAUUGGAACUGAGACACGGUCCAAACUCCUACGGGAGGCAGCAGUGAGGAAUAUUGGUCAAUGGGCGGAAGCCUGAACCAGCCAAGUAGCGUGCAGGAAGACGGCCCUCCGGGUUGUAAACUGCUUUUAGUUGGGAAUAAAACAGGGCUCGUGAGCCCCCUUGCAUGUACCAUCAGAAAAAGGACCGGCUAAUUCCGUG